CGACCGACUUCGGUUGAGCAAGUUGGGUCCAGGUGGCGGCGGAGGGGAACCUCCGCGCGCGAACUGGGUGAAUUGCGGGAAACCUAACUCGAACUCCAUCGCGGCGAUUUGCGAUCCCGGUCGCGUGGUUCUCCGAGCGACGCGUGAGAGGGAAAACGUCCGACGGUUCGACACGGCAAUCCGCAGCCAAGCCCGGCGGGGCGUCCGGUCGCCGGGAAGGUUCAGAGACUAGCGGGGUGAGACCCAAACCAUAAUCCCCGCCGCGAGCGCCCAGCCUCCCUGAUUCCCACCCAGAGGGUCGGAUGAGGGAGGAUGAGAUAGUCCAAGCCCCGUGGAAACGCGGGG
rnacentral:ncRNA from 1 species